ensembl:snRNA U6 U6 spliceosomal RNA
GUGCUUGCUUUGGCUGUACAUGCAAUAAAAUUGGAAAAAGAAGAAUAUCAUGGCCCGUGCACAAGGAUGACAUGCAAAUUCAUAAAGCAUUCCAUAUUCAA